AGUGAACGCUGGCGGUAGGCCUAACACAUGCAAGUCGAACGGCAGCACAGUAAGAGCUUGCUCUUACGGGUGGCGAGUGGCGGACGGGUGAGGAAUACAUCGGAAUCUACUUUUUCGUGGGGGAUAACGUAGGGAAACUUACGCUAAUACCGCAUACGACCUACGGGUGAAAGCAGGGGAUCUUCGGACCUUGCGCGAUUGAAUGAGCCGAUGUCGGAUUAGCUAGUUGGCGGGGUAAAGGCCCACCAAGGCGACGAUCCGUAGCUGGUCUGAGAGGAUGAUCGGCCACACUGGAACUGAGACACGGUCCAGACUCCUACGGGAGGCAGCAGUGGGGAAUAUUGGGCAAUAGGCGCAAGCCUGGUCCAGCCAUACCGCGUGGGUGAAGAAGGCCUUCGGGUUGUAAAGCCCUUUUGUUGGGAAAGAAAAGCAGCAGGUUAAUACCCCGCUGUUCUGACGGUACCCAAAGAAUAAGCACCGGCUAACUUCGUG
rnacentral:rRNA from 1 species